AGGACGAACGCUGGCGGCGUGCCUAACACAUGCAAGUCGAGCGGGGGCCAUCUGGUGGCAACACCAGGGAAGCCCGAGCGGCGAACGGGUGAGUAACACGUGAGGAACCUGCCCCGGAGACCGGGAUAACAGCUGGAAACGGCUGCUAAUACCGGAUGCCAUCACCAGACCGCAUGAUCAGGUGAUGAAAUGGAUUCCGCUCCGGGAGGGCCUCGCGGCCUAUCAGCUAGUUGGUGGGGUAACGGCCUACCAAGGCGUCGACGGGUAGCUGGUCUGAGAGGACGAUCAGCCACACUGGGACUGAGACACGGCCCAGACUCCUACGGGAGGCAGCAGUGGGGAAUCUUGCGCAAUGGGCGAAAGCCUGACGCAGCAACGCCGCGUGCGGGAUGAAGGCCUUCGGUUGUAAACCGCUUUCAGCAGGGACGAAAUUGACGGUACCUGCAGAAGAAGCCCGGCAACUACGUGCCAGCAGCCGC
rnacentral:rRNA from 1 species